AACGAACGCUGGCGGCAUGCCUAACACAUGCAAGUCGAACGAGGCCUUCGGGUCUAGUGGCGCACGGGUGCGUAACGCGUGGGAACCUGCCCUUAGGUUCGGAAUAACUCCCCGAAAGGGGUGCUAAUACCGGAUUAUGUCUUCGGACCAAAGAUUUAUCGCCUUUGGAUGGGCCCGCGUUGGAUUAGCUAGUUGGUAGGGUAAAAGCCUACCAAGGCGACGAUCCAUAGCUGGUCUGAGAGGAUGAUCAGCCACACUGGGACUGAGACACGGCCCAGACUCCUACGGGAGGCAGCAGUGGGGAAUAUUGGACAAUGGGCGAAAGCCUGAUCCAGCAAUGCCGCGUGAGUGAUGAAGGCCUUAGGGUUGUAAAGCUCUUUUACCCGGGAUGAUAAUGACAGUACCGGGAGAAUAAGCUCCGGCUAACUCCGUG
rnacentral:rRNA from 1 species